rnacentral:rRNA from 1 species
GACGAAGGGGGCUAGCGUUGUUCGGAAUUACUGGGCGUAAAGCGAGUGUAGGUGGUUGUCGUAGUCAGGCGUGAAAGCCUUGAGCUCAACUCAAGAAAUGCGCUUGAUACUGGGCAGCUAGAGGACCGGAGAGGAUAGUGGAAUUUCCGGUGUAGCGGUGAAAUGCGUAGAUAUCGUAAGGAACGCCAGUGGCGAAAGCGAAUCUCUGGGCAGCAACUGACGCUGAGGCACGAAGGCCAGGGGAGCAAACGGG